ensembl:snRNA U6 U6 spliceosomal RNA
GUGCUUGCUUCAGCAGCACAUAUACUAAAAUUGGUAUGAAACAGAGAAGAUAAGCUCAGCCUCUGCAGAAGGAUGACAUGCAAAUUUGUGAAGCAGUCAAUAUUUUG